UUUAGAAAUCUUUGGAUGCUAAGUCCUUUGCCCGCUGUCACACAGGACAUUAGAUGGUCAUCUCCGCACUGUUUUGCAGAUGAAAAGACUGGAAAUAACACCAUGCUGACAGAGUAGAGACGGUCUCUAUCGAUCAGUACAUCUAACAUGAAAAGACACUGUACAAGAUGAAAAGUACUACAUGUUGGACUGAAGACAGAAAGCCUGUUUAUAAGAGGAAUAAACUUUGUCUACAGAUAAUAUAACCAAACUUCUUGAAGAUGAACUCUGCUCAUUCACAGUCACUACCAGCAGUUCCCAUUUGCUUUGAGUUCUACUUUCAGUUCUGCUGUUGAGGAAACUGUUAGAGAGAUGAGCAAGCACCUCCUUGGGCUCCCUAGUAGGCAGUGGUAGGAAGAUGCUCUGCUGCUGCAGUCAGUGCUUCUGUAGCAUCACCCCUGACAGUGUGCUACUGUUGCCAUGAAGGGAUGCCAGCUUCAGCUGAAGGCACUUGUUUCCACUCUGGAUGAUGAUCUUUAGCUUCUAUGAAGUGUACAAAUAACAGCGCUUCUCAUCUAGCACUACUGAAUGGCAGAUAGCACUGAACAACCCUGUAUGUAUCAUCAUAUUUGACCAAGGAGAAACUGAUGAAUUUUCACUGUGUUCAACAAGCUAUGAAAUAUCUAGUCCAGCGCCAGUGAAACCGGAACGCUGCAGCAUCAUAAAUUAUCACUAUAGCACACAGGCUAUUAACCUUCCAAAACAUUCACCUCGGAGGCUAAACUUCGCAGUACUUCAGCUUCAAUUCUGAGAAACGUCUCUUUUCCACAACAACAUGAUAAGUGAGAGUGAAUGAAGUCCCUUGCGCAACAAAUGCAGGUUUGAGGAAUACCUCUUCAUCCAUCUUUAAAUAAUAAGAGAAUGGCAAUAAGAGACGUGAUCUGACUGAACUUCUCUCUAUGAAAGCAUUUUAAAAUAUGGCACUUUACCCAUGGUAUUUUCAGAGGACAUGCAAAAUGCAGCAGAAAUUUGGAAGAAUUGAAUACUGACAUCUCUAACAGAAACCAGUAGGUCUGCAAAGACUCGUAGUGUCCUUAACCUGAAAAAAAAAAAACACAAAACAAAACAAAACAAAAAACAAAGAACCCUAGAUUUCUUGUGUGAGCGGAGGGGGGAGGGGAAGGGGAGGAAGGAAUUAUAGAGAAUGACUUAGGUUGGAAGGGAUGUUAAAGAUGAUUGAGUUCCAGCCCCACUACCAUGAGCAGGGUUGCCACCCACAUGAUCAGGCUGCCCAGGACCCCAUCCAACCUGGCCUUGUAUGCCCCCAGCUGACAACAGGAUCACCUAAAAAAGCAGUUUUUCUCUGUUAGUUGAUAGGGCAGGUGGAAAGGAUUUUUUACAAAGUAGUUGAUCUGAUUAUUAAACUACUGCUACUUCAGGAGCUUAAAGUGAGCGUAUCCCAGGCAAACUUCGAGGGAGGAGCUUUGUCAUAGACAGGGGGAUAUGCGUAUAUAUACACUACAUCUGGAUUAAACAAGAUGAUGCGUACGUCUAUAAGGUAUUGCUGAAAACUGUUAUAGAAAAAGGUAAUAGCUAAGUACUCAAUACCUAAUUUUCAUUCCCAAUAAUGUUUAGAAAAAAAAGAUGUAGCUGAAGAUGAAAUACACUCUGUAUUUCUAAAAUGGGCAAUUAUAACCAGAAAAAUGAAGUGAUUAGUCAGAAAUACUUCCUACAAUGGAAGGAGGAAAUAAAAGUGAAAUUAGCUGCUAAAGGGAUGAAAGUGCCUUCAACAAUAAUUCACCAUUCAGUCAGUGGUAAAGAGAGCUUAGUGGUCCGAAUAACAGAUUUUGAAAUAUUUAAUCUUCAGGAUCCAUGGAUUUAUAGAAUAGAAAUCUUGACUGUUUUCUUAAAUUAAAUUGAUUGAGCUCUGUGCAUUGUAUUACAUGGUUUUAUACUGAUUAGAUUUAAAACUAAAUGUCCUUCUGCCCAAGAGAUAUUUCAAAAUUCAAAAUUGCAUCAUCAUCAUCAUCAUCAUUUUAAUAUCAUGGGUUUAUGUCCGGGACACUGCAGCAUUUUUUCUUCAUCCACAGUAGCUCAGAAACCAGCAUGCCAGUUGGCUGCCACCUUCCACUUGAAAAGCUGCUGUGGUUCAGUGUGACUACAUGGGAACAUUCAUAAUACACUAAUCACAGUGGUAUCUGUGUACUGUAUAAUCUUUGAAGUGCUUGAGAAUGAAUGGCUUAUAUGUAUGUAGAAUAUUAUUACUGUAUGCUUAAUUGGGACAUGCUGAAUAGAGAUAGCUGCAUUAUUGGAUCGAUUUCCUUGGAAACUGAUGACAGAGUAUAGUAAUAACUGUUCAUUAAUGAACACAGUAUUGGCGUAUGUUCUGCUUAAGAGGCCUGAUUUAGAUUCUUCCAAAUAAAGUGUUGUUUAGCCAGGUGACAAAUGCAUGUGAAAUACUGAACUGUUUUGUUUGUUUGUUUGUUUGUUUGUUUGUUUGUUUUAAUGUGCAAGUUGCCAGACCAAGAUGAAGAGAUGUAUUCUCCUGGAUUCUUGGGUGGCUCAACUUAGGCUGGCUGAGUUCAGUGCAUCGGCUGAGGACAGGGCAGCCUGCCAGCAGAGCUUCACUUUCUUUGGAUGUGGCACUGAAAUGCUGCUGGCAACAGUAGUUCUCUCUUGGCAUUUCUUAGCUCAUCAUAGGACUAUUUGCAAGCUGCUACCAAGUCCCACAUCAACACACACUACUUUCUUGAAAAUGGCUGCCAAAUUGUGAAGGUUUUGCACAGCCAUCCCAAAACCUAGGCUGGCAUCUGCAGACUCAUGGGAGGUGUCAGUGGCACUGAUGACCCCAAAGAGAGAAGAAUUCCCCCGCAGACUUUGUUCUUUUGCCCGUGUGUGUUUGGAUCUCCAGAGCAUGGAGGACUUGGAAAAGCAAAGACAGUCUGACCUUCUUUACGGUCUCCCUUCAUUCUUCCAUGCCUGUCUUCAUGAAGGUCAAGUGUUUUCUGCCUUCUCAAAUGCAAAAAUAAAACUCAUGCCUCUUGCCUCCGUGGAAGCAAUGUUGCUCUCUAACAGCAACUGAAAACUCAGAGAGUGUGUUGUUGUAGUAAGGAGUCUCCGCCCUGAAAAUACUGUGAAGGAAUGACCUGCAUUAUAUUUAAGAAGCAGCCCACUUUCAAAGACAGAAUAUUAGGUGAGAUGGACCACACUUCUGCUUUGGAACAGCAAACUCAGUGCUCACAGAAAAGUGCUAGUAUUGCGGGACCUUGCUCUGAUUCACCUGUGGGUGCUGAGGGACCUGGGAGUUUUUGCUAGGACACUCUCCAUUAUCUCUGGGAAGUUGUGGGGAACAGGAGAGGUUGCCUAAGGACUGGGGGAACGCAAAUGUCACCCCAGUCAUCAGGAAAAGCAAGAAGGAAGACCUCAGUUUCACACUGAGUUUUUGAAGAAGGAUUCCCAGUUUUGCAG